GGCAGCCUGAACUCAAAAUGGAGACAGAACAGACAGCAGAAAUGCCUUCUUCCCUUUGUAGUUAUGGUGCAUAGGUGACCCUUUUCUCACAGAACAGCAAAUAAUUUAAACUAAGAUUACCUUUGAAAGCCACAGCGUAAUUAACCAUUUUAUGCAUGUGAUGGCUGCCUAGCUUCAAAACCUGAUGCUUUGUAAAGGAAAAGAUUCAGCUGCAUUUGAGUUAGAUUUAUGAAACAUGCUAACAAUAGAGCAGACAGAUAGAAAGGCUGCUUGGCAUCCUGGAAUACCUGGGGAAUUUCACUCAGAAAACAAACAUGUUACUCUUUAAUGUAGGCUCACAUCUCAUUAUAAUAUCACAAGUCGAAUGAGACACACUUCGCCUUUGUAACUGUGUUGCCAGGAGGCAGAUGAAAGAAAUAAGCACAGUUUAAAAUUAAGCUCAAGAUAUUCACAUACAGACAAGAAAAGUGAAAGAACAUUAAGAGGAGAAGGGAAAGAAUGUAAUCCUGUGUGAUGUGAGGGACAAAGAGAAUAGGACACAACAGUGAAGACCCUGACAGGAUCAUGCUUAAGCGGGAUGGUUAGCUGCUGUCCAGCCAGUGACAGUCACAAUCUCCAGAGCAACAGUGACUCCAGCUGGAUUGAUUGAAAGUCCCUGAAGCACUUUUCAUUGGAUCCUUACACCCAAAUGGCUCACGGUUCUAUAUGAUCAGUUCUACAUCUGCAAGAACGCUACCCACUGAAUAUUUACAAGUGUGGUUUCCAUGUACAAUUUCAUCAGUUCUAAGGCUGGAAAUGUCUGGAGGAGUUUCUUUAAUGAUCAAGGUCUCCACUCAGGAUAUUAAUACAUUUAAACGUGCAGAUAGGCACUAUCUAAUAGUGUCUAUGGACUAGGUACAACAUACCCUGUCUAUCCCUUCUGAAGAGCCCAUGUGUAUGACAGUUGUGAGAUUCAUCCCACCAUGUUUCCUGAUAGCAACCAGAUCAAAAUUUUCCAAGCACAUCAUGGUUUUCAACUCCUCCUGCUUAUCUUCCAUGCUGUGUAUUAGUGUAAAGGCUUUGAUCUAGGACUUAAACUGAUCUUUUUACCUAGACAGCUUGCAAAAAUAUUACUUUGUUUAUCUUCCUACAUGAUAUCUUCUAUGCUCUUUUGUACUAGUAGAUGAAUAAAGUUGGUAUAUAUGCUGAAGUCCUAAUACUCUGCUUUAGGUAUGGUAAAACAAAAUCAGACAUCAUUUGCUAUCCCAAUUCUGAGGACCACUCUGAAAAUAAUUCCUCCUAUUUUAUUAUGUUGGCCCACAACUUCAGAAACAGAUAUUGGUGCCUUGCAGUCAGAUCUUCCCACCAGUACCCCAUCUUGUUUCCAUGCAACAGAUGACAGCAGAGGAGCAGUCUGACAAAAUGGCAUCUGACAUGGAAGUGUAUAUGAAGCAAAGGUGUGUCAUUAAAUUCCUGCAUGAGGAAAAAAUGGCACUCACUGACAUUCACUGAUAGUUUACUGAACAUUUUUCAAGACCAUACAGUGGAUGUGAGGAUGGUGAAGUGGUGAGUGGUACAAUUCAGCAAUGAUGCCAUCAUAGCAGCUGUGAAGCAGUGGGUCACCUCCACUGGUGCAGAUUUUUACAACCACAUCAUGCAGACUCUUGCUUUCCACUGUCUAAAAUAAGACAGUGGAAAGCAAGUGGUGACUAUGUUGCAAAUGAGUGCUUUGAAUACAAGUGUUUUGUAGCUGAGAUUUCCUCUAUCAAAUAGCAUUAUUGUGCCCUUUGUUGCAGUUUCUAUGGAAAUUAAUAGGAAGCAUUACUUUCAGAGCUACCUACGUACAACCAUUUCAGAUGUAAUUCUUUUGAAUUGCAAGUCUACCUGUUCAAGACUACCCUAUCGCUCAAGUAAAAAAAAAAAAAAAAAAAGAAAUACCUGAGCAAAACAAAUUGGAUUUGGUCUGUGGUUUCUGAAGCAUCACAUGGAGGGAAAUUUUCUUGUACUUACUUUUAUUUAUUUAGUUAUUUUAAAUUAAUGACUUAACAUCUAUGAGUCUUGAUCAGAACUCUUCAGCCUCCAGCUGAAUGAAAUUGUUGUUCCUUGCUUAGAAUAACCUGUUGCUUAAGACAAAGCACAAGCUGGCCUCCUUCUUAUUGUAAUUAACUUCAUUUUAUAUUAAUCAAGCAUGGCUGUUUCUUCUGAUAGUAUAUAAUAAAGGGAUAUAGUCAGUUUUUUAAUUGUAUUGCUGUUUUGCUUUGAUAUAUUUCAAAUACAAAUAACACAAAACAUACUUAUAAAUUAAUGUUAUUUGGUAAUAUUGGAACCAUUUCCAAGUAUAGAAACAUAAGUAAUGAAAUUACCUUAAUUCUAAUGCAGACCAAUAAAACAGAAAGUAAUCUUAUUAUGAAUUACAUACAGUGUUUUAGGAUGAGCAAAGAUUACUAUUUUGGAAGAUUGUAUUAUAUUUUUUGAGCUAACCUCUGCAUUUUCUCAGCAAGAACUUAUUUGGUGUAAAAGACACAGUUUAAAAAUAGUGUGUUAUGAAACAGUCAUUUUUUCUUGCCCUUGCACAUCUCUAAUUGACUAACUACUUUAACCUCACCUUCUAAAUGUGGGAAGGCUACUGAGAAAAUGAAAAUGAUUUUCCCAAAAUCUAAAUUGAGAGGAAGAUGACU
ensembl:lncRNA